rnacentral:rRNA from 1 species
GAGAUCGGGAUAACACCUGGAAACAGAUGCUAAUACCGGUAUAACAACAGAUGAUGCCUAUCAACUGUUUAAAAGAUGGUUCUGCUAUCACUCUUGGAUGGACCUGCGGUGCAUUAGCUAGUUGGUAGGGUAACGGCCUACCAAGGCGAUGAUGCAUAGCCGAGUUGAGAGACUGAUCGGCCACAUUGGGACUGAGACACGGCCCAAACUCCUACGGGAGGCAGCAGC